GGGAAGCUCCACAUUCAGACAGGCCUGGUGCAGACGCCGGUGUCCUGGCAGCACCUAAAUCAUUAGUGCCGCGGAGAUUAGGAUACUAAUCUCCUUGUUGGGUGGAGCGGUGCCAGCCACCAGCCUGCGGAUCAUGCUGCUCUUUUGCAGGGGCCGUUCCUCGGGGCAUGACGCUGGCUCCUGCACAGAUCCUGCUCCUCUGUGGCCUUCCUGGGCUGCCCUCCCCUCCUCCGGGACUGCUCUGGACUGACAUUGCUCAGAUUUUUACUCUUGUUGCCCAGGCUGGAGUGCAAUGGUGUGAUCUCGGCUCACUGCAACCUCCACCUCCCAGGUUCAAGCUAUUCUCCUGCCUCAGCCUCCUGAGUAGCUGGGAUUACAGAUCCUGGUGGCUGUGGUCGGUAAUUCCAGCUUCGUGCUGGCUACAGGUGGAUGAUGCCCACCUGGCUGCCGAUGACCUCUGCACCAAGUGAGGCUGGGUCUCUGGAGCUGCCCCAGGGGCUGGACAAGCUGACCCUGGCCGGGGCCAACCUGGA
rnacentral:lncRNA from 1 species